rnacentral:rRNA from 1 species
GACGAACGCUGGCGGCGUGCCUAAUACAUGCAAGUCGAACGAGAGCGACCGGUGCUUGCACUGGUCAAUCUAGCGGCGAACGGGUGAGUAACACGUGGGUAACCUGCCCAUCAGAGGGGGAUAACAUCCGGAAACGGAUGCUAAAACCGCAUAGGUCUUCGAACCGCAUGGUUUGAAGAGGAAAAGAGGCGCAAGCUUCUGCUGAUGGAUGGACCCGCGGUGCAUUAGCUAGUUGGUGAGGUAACGACUCACCAAGGCCGUGAUGCAUAGCCGACCUGAGAGGGUGAUCGGCCACAUUGGGACUGAGACACGGCCCAAACUCCUACGGGAGGCAGCAGUAGGGAAUCUUCCGCAAUGGACGCAAGUCUGACGGAGCAACGCCGCGUGAGUGAAGAAGGUUUUCGGAUCGUAAAACUCUGUUGUUAGAGAAGAACAAGUGCUAGAGUAACUGUUAGCGCCUUGACGGUAUCUAACCAGAAAGCCACGGCUAACUACGUG